rnacentral:rRNA from 1 species
AGUGAACGCUGGCGGUAGGCCUAACACAUGCAAGUCGAACGGCAGCACAGUAAGAGCUUGCUCUUAUGGGUGGCGAGUGGCGGACGGGUGAGGAAUACAUCGGAAUCUACUUUUUCGUGGGGGAUAACGUAGGGAAACUUACGCUAAUACCGCAUACGACCUACGGGUGAAAGCAGGGGAUCUUCGGACCUUGCGCGAUUGAAUGAGCCGAUGUCGGAUUAGCUAGUUGGCGGGGUAAAGGCCCACCAAGGCGACGAUCCGUAGCUGGUCUGAGAGGAUGAUCAGCCACACUGGAACUGAGACACGGUCCAGACUCCUACGGGAGGCAGCAGUGGGGAAUAUUGGACAAGGGGCGCAAGCCUGAUCCAGCCAUACCGCGUGGGUGAAGAAGGCCUUCGGGUUGUAAAGCCCUUUUGUUGGGAAAGAAAAGCAGCAGGUUAAUACCCCGCUGUUCUGACGGUACCCAAAGAAUAAGCACCGGCUAACUUCGUG